AUCGUUUUAGAUUCUAACCCAAAGCAGCUACCUGGCACAGUGAAUACAACAGUGAACCUGGCGUCAGGAAAGGUUGAGUUCAAAUGUACUCCUAGAGUCCAGAGCUUGUGUCAACCAGACCGAUGGAAACUGCUAGAAUGAAGUCAAUCAAUCAAUCAAUCAAUAAACAUUUAUUAAGCUUC